GGGUUGUGAGGUUAAGCGACUAAGCGUACACGGUGGAUGCCCUGGCAGUCAGAGGCGAUGAAGGACGUGCUAAUCUGCGAAAAGCGUCGGUAAGGUGAUAUGAACCGUUACAGCCGGCGAUGUCCGAAUGGGGAAACCCAGUGUGAUUCGUCACACUAUCGUUAACUGAAUACAUAGGUUAACGAGGCGAACCGGGGGAACUGAAACAUCUAAGUACCCCGAGGAAAAGAAAUCAACCGAGAUUCCCCCAGUAGCGGCGAGCGAACGGGGAGCAGCCCAGAGUCUGAAUCAGCUUGUGUGUUAGUGGAACGGUCUGGAAAGUCCGACGGUACAGGGUGAUAGUCCCGUACACCAAAAUGCACAGGUUGUGAACUCGAAGAGUAGGGCGGGACACGUGGUAUCCUGUCUGAAUAUGGGGGGACCAUCCUCCAAGGCUAAAUACUCCUGACUGACCGAUAGUGAACCAGUACCGUGAGGGAAAGGCGAAAAGAACCCCGGCGAGGGGAGUGAAAAAGAACCUGAAACCGUGUACGUACAAGCAGUGGGAGCACCUUCGGGUGUGACUGCGUACCUUUUGUAUAAUGGGUCAGCGACUUAUAUUCUGUAGCAAGGUUAACCGUAUAGGGGAGCCGCAGGGAAACCGAGUCUUAACUGGGCGUUAAGUUGCAGGGUAUAGACCCGAAACCCGGUGAUCUAGCCAUGGGCAGGUUGAAGGUUGGGUAACACUAACUGGAGGACCGAACCGACUAAUGUUGAAAAAUUAGCGGAUGACUUGUGGCUGGGGGUGAAAGGCCAAUCAAACCGGGAGAUAGCUGGUUCUCCCCGAAAGCUAUUUAGGUAGCGCCUCGUGAAUUCAUCUUCGGGGGUAGAGCACUGUUUCGGCUAGGGGGUCAUCCCGACUUACCAACCCGAUGCAAACUACGAAUACCGAAGAAUGUUAUCACGGGAGACACACGGCGGGUGCUAACGUCCGUCGUGAAGAGGGAAACAACCCAGACCGCCAGCUAAGGUCCCAAAGUCAUGGUUAAGUGGGAAACGAUGUGGGAAGGCACAGACAGCCAGGAUGUUGGCUUAGAAGCAGCCAUCAUUUAAAGAAAGCGUAAUAGCUCACUGGUCGAGUCGGCCUGCGCGGAAGAUGUAACGGGGCUAAACCAUGCACCGAAGCUGCGGCAGCGACGCUUAUGCGUUGUUGGGUAGGGGAGCGUUCUGUAAGCCUGCGAAGGUGGCCUGUGAGGGUUGCUGGAGGUAUCAGAAGUGCGAAUGCUGACAUAAGUAACGAUAAAGCGGGUGAAAAGCCCGCUCGCCGGAAGACCAAGGGUUCCUGUCCAACGUUAAUCGGGGCAGGGUGAGUCGACCCCUAAGGCGAGGCCGAAAGGCGUAGUCGAUGGGAAACAGGUUAAUAUUCCUGUACUUGGUGUUACUGCGAAGGGGGGACGGAGAAGGCUAUGUUAGCCGGGCGACGGUUGUCCCGGUUUAAGCAUGUAGGCGGAGGUUCCAGGUAAAUCCGGUACCUUUUAACGCUGAGGUGUGAUGACGAGGCACUACGGUGCUGAAGUAACAAAUGCCCUGCUUCCAGGAAAAGCCUCUAAGCAUCAGGUAACAUUAAAUCGUACCCCAAACCGACACAGGUGGUCAGGUAGAGAAUACCAAGGCGCUUGAGAGAACUCGGGUGAAGGAACUAGGCAAAAUGGUGCCGUAACUUCGGGAGAAGGCACGCUGGUGUGUAGGUGAAGUCCCUGCGGACGGAGCUGAGACCAGUCGAAGAUACCAGCUGGCUGCAACUGUUUAUUAAAAACACAGCACUGUGCAAACACGAAAGUGGACGUAUACGGUGUGACGCCUGCCCGGUGCCGGAAGGUUAAUUGAUGGGGUUAUCCGUAAGGAGAAGCUCUUGAUCGAAGCCCCGGUAAACGGCGGCCGUAACUAUAACGGUCCUAAGGUAGCGAAAUUCCUUGUCGGGUAAGUUCCGACCUGCACGAAUGGCGUAAUGAUGGCCAGGCUGUCUCCACCCGAGACUCAGUGAAAUUGAACUCGCUGUGAAGAUGCAGUGUACCCGCGGCAAGACGGAAAGACCCCGUGAACCUUUACUAUAGCUUGACACUGAACAUUGAGCCUUGAUGUGUAGGAUAGGUGGGAGGCUUUGAAGCGUGGACGCCAGUCUGCGUGGAGCCAACCUUGAAAUACCACCCUUUAAUGUUUGAUGUUCUAACGUUGGCCCGUAAUCCGGGUUGCGGACAGUGUCUGGUGGGUAGUUUGACUGGGGCGGUCUCCUCCCAAAGAGUAACGGAGGAGCACGAAGGUUAGCUAAUCCUGGUCGGACAUCAGGAGGUUAGUGCAAUGGCAUAAGCUAGCUUGACUGCGAGCGUGACGGCGCGAGCAGGUGCGAAAGCAGGUCAUAGUGAUCCGGUGGUUCUGAAUGGAAGGGCCAUCGCUCAACGGAUAAAAGGUACUCCGGGGAUAACAGGCUGAUACCGCCCAAGAGUUCAUAUCGACGGCGGUGUUUGGCACCUCGAUGUCGGCUCAUCACAUCCUGGGGCUGAAGUAGGUCCCAAGGGUAUGGCUGUUCGCCAUUUAAAGUGGUACGCGAGCUGGGUUUAGAACGUCGUGAGACAGUUCGGUCCCUAUCUGCCGUGGGCGCUGGAGAAUUGAGGGGGGCUGCUCCUAGUACGAGAGGACCGGAGUGGACGCAUCACUGGUGUUCGGGUUGUCAUGCCAAUGGCACUGCCCGGUAGCUAAAUGCGGAAGAGAUAAGUGCUGAAAGCAUCUAAGCACGAAACUUGCCCCGAGAUGAGUUCUCCCUGAGACUUUAAGUCUCCUGAAGGAACGUUGAAGACGACGACGUUGAUAGGCCGGGUGUGUAAGCGCAGCGAUGCGUUGAGCUAACCGGUACUAAUGAACCGUGAGGCUUAACCUUACAACGCCGAAGCUGUU
rnacentral:rRNA from 1 species